AAAAAGACAUACCAUAGUUUUUAUGUCCAACAUUUGACCAUCCGUCUUAUUUUAAAAAAUUAUAAAAAAAAUUAAAAAGACAAGUCACACAUAAAAUAUUAAUCAUGUUUUAUCACCUAACAACAAUGAAAAUAUGAAUUAUAAAAAAAAUUAUAUAAGACGGACGGUCAAAGUUGAACACGAAAAUUCAGGGUUUGUCUUUUU
rfam:Oryza sativa Japonica Group DNA, chromosome 4, cultivar: Nipponbare, complete sequence.